rnacentral:tRNA from 1 species
GGGGAGAAUAGAAUUUUUCGAUAUUAUUUGAAGACCGGUGUUUGGAAAGGUAGUAACUGGGUAACUGGUUCCGGGGUUCGAAUCCCCGUCUCUCCGCCA